rnacentral:sRNA from 1 species
UACACGCUUACUAUCUUAGUAUGCAGUUGACUACUUCUAUUGUAUUCAAUAGAUGGGUUCACACAAAAGACCCCAGAAGGGAUUCAACAGCCGCUGGUUAUCGCCCAAGCACCUGAUUGCCCCUCUAUCAGGAUAUUCACAUUCAACUCAUUCAUUGCACAUUCCCGAAUCAAUUAGUCGAUCUCUGGGAUACCACCAUUAUCGGUCAUUAGAUAAUGCAUCUAUUACCAUUAAAAUACAGAACAAGAAAAGAGGUGGGGAGCGGAUAUAUAGAGUCGGGUUACUCCCACAUCAAUAACCAGGAGGAAAGAAAACGUGCCCGUAUUUAUCGAGCAACUCAACUCGAAAAAAUAUGUCGAUGACCCCACGGCGAAAAGAAGGCCGCAUUUCGAGAAAAGCGACGAGAUUCGGUUCUAGCGGGCUCACAGAAGAGGAUCUCUUCAACUCGAGGCCCGAUAGUGUCCUUGAUAUAUUUCACCAGAUCUUCCUUCGGCAGCAAGCAAUGAGCGUGUACGAUUCUAAGCGAUCCCUUGUGCUGUUCCACCAACUGCCUGAGAUCCUGUCCCUGGAAUUCGAUAAUCAAAGAUAUGGCCCUGAGAUUCGGCCAACAGCGCUCCCGGUAUGGAAGAAGAUCUGAGAGCUUCACAUCCCCCCAUGGUUCUCCUGCUACGAACCAAUGAAGCGAAGUGUCUAUUUUGAUUGACUGAACAGAGUCUGUGUUGAAAAAUGCGCGAGAGAGAUUAUACAGGUGUUGUUUUCCAAUGCUCUUGCGGUCCAGGAGUGCAGAGGAAGGGCCGAAAUGUCGAUCUAGGCCGUAGAAACCCAGAGACAAAUCAGUUGCCUUGCGCACAACACGGCUGAUACAUUGCAACGAGCCAGAGGAAAUUUCAAGAGUUUCAUAAUUGACAGGGGUGGAUAAAUAUAUGUGACAGUGCGUCGGAAAGAUGUUCGCAUGCUCAAGAACUCCGAAGAUGGCGGGCAGCAGUUCAGCUGGAGGUGGCUCCCGUGUGAAAUGACGAAUUCUUUUGGCUUGGACUUCGACGCAUGAGAAACAUGAUUGCCAGUACGACGGCAGGGAACAGAACUUUAUCAGCAAACUGUCACACCACUCUUGGGGUAAUGUGCGUUCACAGUCUCCAGCACGAAUGGUCACCGCAGGAUCCUUAGCUAUAUCAGCGCUCAAGCCCAGUGCGUUCUCGUCCUUGUCCGUGAUCACUAUUUGCUCUAAAGCCGGCAGCCUUCUCAGUAAGGCUGAGAGUAGGGUCAUAUAUGAGUUAUCAUGCCAAGCCACUUCUUGUUCAUUGAGUAAAUGGCAAUAAAUGCUGUGACCCUUUUUGAGGAGGCUUUGAUAAUGGGUGAGAUUAUUUUCUUCAUAGAAGCCAAAGCCCACGGCACGCCACUCCUUCGAAGCGAGGGAAAACUGAUUGUUAAUACACUGUCUAAUCUCGCCGCAAAGUUGUGUGCGAAUCUGAAAUUCUCGGUCAACCAUAUAUUUUGCGAAUAAAGAGAAAUCCCGAGUGAGUAGGGCGUCGUAAUAUGCCACGGAGAGCUUGAGUCUGCGGACCGUCGUAGCAAAACGUUCGUGUUGCAGGAUUUCUUCGAGUUUGUGCAGCGUCUGUGGUGACAACGCUGAAAUUGCAAUCUGCGUGUGUCGGUUGAGGGCUGGAGCUGUGAUAUCAGCAAUCCGUUUAGAGACGAGUCGGAAAGACUUUAGAUUGGAAAUCGCAAAGGAGCCGGCGUGGUCACAGAAGUAUUCGGUCACGAGUAUCAAUAUCUCGGC